rnacentral:rRNA from 1 species
AGGACGAACGCUGGCGGCGUGCCUAAUACAUGCAAGUCGAGCGGACAGAUGGGAGCUUGCUCCCUGAUGUUAGCGGCGGACGGGUGAGUAACACGUGGGUAACCUGCCUGUAAGACUGGGAUAACUCCGGGAAACCGGGGCUAAUACCGGAUGGUUGUUUGAACCGCAUGGUUCAGACAUAAAAGGUGGCUUCGGCUACCACUUACAGAUGGACCCGCGGCGCAUUAGCUAGUUGGUGAGGUAACGGCUCACCAAGGCGACGAUGCGUAGCCGACCUGAGAGGGUGAUCGGCCACACUGGGACUGAGACACGGCCCAGACUCCUACGGGAGGCAGCAGUAGGGAAUCUUCCGCAAUGGACGAAAGUCUGACGGAGCAACGCCGCGUGAGUGAUGAAGGUUUUCGGAUCGUAAAGCUCUGUUGUUAGGGAAGAACAAGUGCCGUUCAAAUAGGGCGGCACCUUGACGGUACCUAACCAGAAAGCCACGGCUAACUACGUGCCAGCAGCCGCGGUAAUACGUAGGUGGCAAGCGUUGUCCGGAAUUAUUGGGCGUAAAGGGCUCGCAGGCGGUUUCUUAAGUCUGAUGUGAAAGCCCCCGGCUCAACCGGGGAGGGUCAUUGGAAACUGGGGAACUUGAGUGCAGAAGAGGAGAGUGGAAUUCCACGUGUAGCGGUGAAAUGCGUAGAGAUGUGGAGGAACACCAGUGGCGAAGGCGACUCUCUGGUCUGUAACUGACGCUGAGGAGCGAAAGCGUGGGGAGCGAACAGGAUUAGAUACCCUGGUAGUCCACGCCGUAAACGAUGAGUGCUAAGUGUUAGGGGGUUUCCGCCCCUUAGUGCUGCAGCUAACGCAUUAAGCACUCCGCCUGGGGAGUACGGUCGCAAGACUGAAACUCAAAGGAAUUGACGGGGGCCCGCACAAGCGGUGGAGCAUGUGGUUUGAUUCGAAGCAACGCGAAGAACCUUACCAGGUCUUGACAUCCUCUGACAAUCCUAGAGAUAGGACGUCCCCUUCGGGGGCAGAGUGACAGGUGGUGCAUGGUUGUCGUCAGCUCGUGUCGUGAGAUGUUGGGUUAAGUCCCGCAACGAGCGCAACCCUUGAUCUUAGUUGCCAGCAUUCAGUUGGGCACUCUAAGGUGACUGCCGGUGACAAACCGGAGGAAGGUGGGGAUGACGUCAAAUCAUCAUGCCCCUUAUGACCUGGGCUACACACGUGCUACAAUGGACAGAACAAAGGGCAGCGAAACCGCGAGGUUAAGCCAAUCCCACAAAUCUGUUCUCAGUUCGGACCGCAGUCUGCAACUCGACUGCGUGAAGCUGGAAUCGCUAGUAAUCGCGGAUCAGCAUGCCGCGGUGAAUACGUUCCCGGGCCUUGUACACACCGCCCGUCACACCACGAGAGUUUGUAACACCCGAAGUCGGUGAGGUAACCUUUAUGGAGCCAGCCGCCGAAGGUGGGACAGAUGAUUGGGGUG